rnacentral:rRNA from 1 species
ACGCUUCACUUCGGUGAAGAGUGGCGAACGGGUGAGUAAUACAUAAGUAACCUGGCAUCUACAGGGGGAUAACUGAUGGAAACGUCAGCUAAGACCGCAUAGGUGUAGAGAUCGCAUGAACUCUAUAUGAAAAGUGCUACGGGACUGGUAGAUGAUGGACUUAUGGCGCAUUAGCUUGUUGGUAGGGUAACGGCCUACCAAGGCGACGAUGCGUAGCCGACCUGAGAGGGUGACCGGCCACACUGGGACUGAGACACGGCCCAGACUCCUACGGGAGGCAGCAGUAGGGAAUUUUCGGCAAUGGGGGAAACCCUGACCGAGCAACGCCGCGUGAAGGAAGAAGUAAUUCGUUAUGUAAACUUCUGUCAUAGAGGAAGAACGGUGGAUAUAGGGAAUGAUAUCCAAGUGACGGUACUCUAUAAGAAAGCCACGGCUAACUACGUGCCAGCAGCCGCGGUAAUACGUAGGUGGCGAGCGUUAUCCGGAAUUAUUGGGCGUAAAGAGGGAGCAGGCGGCACUAAGGGUCUGUGGUGAAAGAUCGAAGCUUAACUUCGGUAAGCCAUGGAAACCGUAGAGCUAGAGUGUGUGAGAGGAUCGUGGAAUUCCAUGUGUAGCGGUGAAAUGCGUAGAUAUAUGGAGGAACACCAGUGGCGAAGGCGACGAUCUGGCGCAUAACUGACGCUCAGUCCCGAAAGCGUGGGGAGCAAAUAGGAUUAGAUACCCUAGUAGUCCACGCCGUAAACGAUGAGUACUAAGUGUUGGGUGUCAAAGCUCAGUGCUGCAGUUAACGCAAUAAGUACUCCGCCUGAGUAGUACGUUCGCAAGAAUGAAACUCAAAGGAAUUGACGGG